UACGGGGGGGGCAAGCGUUGUUCGGAAUUACUGGGCGUAAAGGGCUCGUAGGCGGCCAACUAAGUCAGACGUGAAAUCCCUCGGCUUAACCGGGGAACUGCGUCUGAUACUGGAUGGCUCGAGUUUGGGAGAGGGAUGCGGAAUUCCAGGUGUAGCGGUGGAAUGCGCAGAUAUCAGGAGGAACACCGAUGGCGAAGGCAAUCCCCUGGGCCUGCACUGACGCUCAUGCACGAAAGCGUGGGGAGCAAACAGG
rnacentral:rRNA from 1 species